UACGUAGGGGGCAAGCGUUGUCCGGAUUUAUUGGGCGUAAAGGGCGCGUAGGCGGUUUCUUAAGUUUGGAGUGACAGUGGGUGGCUUAACUACCCAAGGCCUCUGAAAACUGGGGAACUUGAGGACCAGAGAGGGACAUAGAAUUCCGGGUGGAGUGGUGAAAUGCGUAGAUAUCCGGAGGAAUACCAAAGGCGAAGGCAGUGUCCUGGAGGGUGACUGACGCUGAGGCGCGAAAGCUAGGGGAGCGAACGAGGA
rnacentral:rRNA from 1 species